AACGAACGCUGGCGGCAGGCUUAACACAUGCAAGUCGAACGCACCGCAAGGUGAGUGGCAGACGGGUGAGUAACACGUGGGGAUCUGCCCAAUGGUACGGAAUAGCUCCGGGAAACUGGAAUUAAUACCGUAUGUGCCCUUCGGGGGAAAGAUUUAUCGCCAUUGGAUGAACCCGCGUCGGAUUAGCUAGUUGGUGAGGUAAAGGCUCACCAAGGCGACGAUCCGUAGCUGGUCUGAGAGGAUGAUCAGCCACACUGGGACUGAGACACGGCCCAGACUCCUACGGGAGGCAGCAGUGGGGAAUAUUGGACAAUGGGCGCAAGCCUGAUCCAGCCAUGCCGCGUGAGUGAUGAAGGCCUUAGGGUUGUAAAGCUCUUUCGCCGACGAAGAUAAUGACGGUAGUCGGAGAAGAAGCCCCGGCUAACUUCGUGCCAGCAGCCGCCGUAAUAC
rnacentral:rRNA from 1 species